rnacentral:rRNA from 1 species
AGUUCGAUUAUGGCUCAAUUGAACGCUGGCGGUGCUACAUGCAAGUCCCUGAGCUUGGCGAAAAACUUCGGUCUGAGUGGCGAACGGGUGGUAAUGUAUCGGAACGUGCCUAAUGGCAGGGGAUAACUACGCGAAAGCGUAGCUAAUACCACUACGCCCUUCGAAGCGGGGACCUUCGGGCCUCGCACUAUUAAAACGGCCGAUAUCGGAUUAGCUAGUUGGUGGGAGUAACGGCUCACCAGGCGACGCUGAUCCGUAGCUGGUUUGAGAGGACGACCAGCCACACUGGGACUGAGACACGGCCCAGACUCCUACGGGGAGAACGCAGUGGGGAAUUUUUGGACAAUGGGGGGGAAACCCUGAUCCAGCCAUCCCGCGUGUCGAUGAAGGCCUUCCGGAGUUUAUGACUACUUUUUUUGGCAGGAAAGAAACGGCGCACGGGAUAAUACGUCACAACCCUGACCCCGAGGUUUACCUGCAGAAUAAGCACCAGCUAACUACGUGCCAGCAGCCGCGGUAAUACGGGUGCAAGCGUUAAUCCUUGCCCUGGGCGUAAAGCGUGCGCAGGUUCAGAAGAAAGAUGUGAUCCCAGAGCUUAACUUUGGAACUGCAUUUUUAACUACGACUGAUGUGUCAGAGGAGUGGAAUUCCGCGAUGUAGCAGUGAAAUGCGUAGAUAUGCGGAGGAACACCGAUGGCGAAGGCAGCCUCCUGGGAUAACACUGACGCUCAUGCACAGCGUGGGAGCAAACAGGAUUAGAUACCCUGGUAGUCCACGCCCUAAACGAUGUCCAACUAGCUGUUAGGGCCUUCGGGCCUUGGUGGCCGCAACUAACGUGAAGUUGACCGCCUGGGAGAGUACGGUCGCAAGAUUAAAACUCAAAGGAAUUGACGAGGACCCGCACAAGCGGUGGAUGAUCAGUUAAUUGAUGCAACGCGAAAACCUUACCUACCCUUGACAUGUCUGGAAUCCCGAAGAGAUUGGGAGUGCUCGCAAAGAACGGAACACAGGUGCUGCAUGGCUGUCGUCAGCUCGUGUCGUGAGAUGUUGGGUUAAGUCCGCAACGAGCGCAACCCUUGUCAUUAGUUACUACCACAGCACUCUAAUGAGACUGCCGGUAUUGAUGACAAACCGGAGGAAGGUGGGGAUGACGUCAAGUCCUCAUGGCCCCAUAUGGGUAGGGCUUCACACGUCAUACAAUGGUCAGGACAGAGGGUCGCCAGAGAGCCAAUCAGAAACCCGAUCGUAGUCCGGAUCGCAGUCUGCAACUCGACUGCGUGAAGUCGGAAUCGCUAGCUAAAUCGCCGGAUAAUGUCGCCCGGUGAAUACGUUCCCGGGUCCCGUACACACCGCCCGUCACAUGGGAAUUAGGUUUUACCAGAAGUAUUAGCUAACCGUAAGGGCGAUUACCACGGUAGGAUUCAUGACUGGGGGUGAAGUCAUGGCAAGGU